ACAAGUACCGUGAGGGAAAGUUGCAAAGCACUUUGAAGAGAGAGUUAAAUAGGACGUGAAACCGGUGAGGUGGAAACGGAUAGAGCCAGCGUAUCUGUUCCUGCAUUCAUCUACGUGGUAGUCGCGCGCCCCAGCUCUGGCGACUCCAGAUUGGGACGGAGUUGGGGUUGUACACCGCCCGUGGUGCAUUUGCAGGCGUGUGCGCUGAGCUGUUCGAGGUGUUGGGAUGAACUUGGUUUUGAGGCCAGCUUGCUGGUACCCGGACCGGGGGAGUGCCAUUCGCCUUGGGCUUUUAUGUUGGAUAUGGCUUACGGGCUCGUAUGGGCGCCGAGCUGGUCGUCGGCGGCGGUCGCAUGCGACACGUGCUGUGCGUGCCAGUUCGGUCCUGUGCGAGCUCACAUGUCCCAGGCUCAGUGUAAGAGCUGGUCAUCUAUCCGACCCGUCUUGAAACACGGACCAAGGAGUUUAUCGUGUGCGCAAGUCAUUGGGUGUUGAAAACCCAGAGGCGCAAUGAAAGUGAAGGCAUCCCUCGCGGAGCCGACGUGCGAGCACGGGCACUGCGGUGUCCGAGUGCAGCAUGGCCCCAUCCUGACUGCUUGCAGUGGGGUGGAGGAAGAGCGUACGCGGUGAGACCCGAAAGAUGGUGAACUAUUCCUGAGCAGGAUGAAGCCAGAGGAAACUCUGGUGGAAGUCCGAAGCGAUUCUGACGUGCAAAUCGAUCGUCUGACUUGGGUAUAGGGGCGAAAGACUAAUCGAACCAUCUAGUAGCUGGUUCCUUCCGA
rnacentral:rRNA from 1 species